UAGGGAAUCUUGGACAAUGGACGAAAGUCUGAUCCAGCGACGCCGCGUGGGGGACGAAGGCCCUCGGGUUGUAAACCCCUGUUGUUGGGAAAGAAGCCGGGCGCAUAGCCCGGUGACGGUACCCAACGAGGAAGCCCCGGCUAACUACGUGCCAGCAGCCGCGGUAAGACGUAGGGGGCGAGCGUUAUCCGGAUUCACUGGGCGUAAAGGGCGCGCAGGCGGUUACGUAAGUCCGGCGUGAAAUCCCAUGGCUUAACUGUGGAACUGCGUCGGAUACUGCGUUGACUUGAGGAUGGUAGAGGCCAUUAGAACUAGCGGUGUAGCGGUGAAAUGCGCAGAUAUCGCUAGGAAUGCCGGUGGCGAAGGCGGAUGGCUGGGCCACUCCUGACGCUGAGGCGCGAAAGCUAGGGGAGCGAACCG
rnacentral:rRNA from 1 species